UUCCCGCGUCGAGAAUCUGAAAUCGAAUCGAAACUUCGAAAGCUAUCAUAUUUAUUGUGUUGUGGUGGUGUUGGACACCUGCAUUCCUGUUGGUAUUUGGUAAUAACCGAAGAAAAGAAACUCGAGAUUGCUUGAUCUUCGUAUGACGGUUUUAUGCAGUAUUUCUUAUUUAGACUGAUGUAAAAUAGAGAGGACACCGACAGUAAUUUUAAUUCUAUAAGAUUCAAUUCUGUUGGACACAAAGUGCAUUACCAAAUUAAUUUUAGUUGAAUGAAUUGAAUUUUUUAAUGAGGAAAUUGGUGGCUCAUAACUACAACUAUUACCUUGAAUCCCCAACAACUGUGACAGAAUCAGUAUAUUUUUAUGCACAUCCACUGCUUCAUGACAAUGUGUUACCAUAAUUAUUGCUCAUUUUUUUCUCUUAACUACAAAAUUCUUAAUUUUUUAAUUAACAGAUUAGCAAGAACCAAUAAAUAUAGAAUGUUUUACAUCAAAUAUAAAUGCAAAUAUUUCAAAAAGGAUGUUAAACCUGUCCAACCUGACUGGGAAUGCAUAUAGCAUACUUCAGUUUUAUUCAAUCUCGAGAGGCCUAUAGGUCUGAACUCCAUUUCAGAUUUACCCAUCCUGCAACUGAAUAACAACUAACAGGCAAUGAUACAGUAAUAAGGCUAUCAAUCACUGGGAGUUCAGAUUGCAAAAUGGAACUUUUUUGUACAGAUGUUGAAACCGAAUUAAGUUAGCCUAUUUACGAAAAGCUUGCAAUAUUACAAGAACAUUUAAGUUUUAAUUAAUGUUAAAAACCACCAGUGCUGGUAUCACGUCGCCUUUCUACAACCGGCACGAUGACCAGCAUUACUUUGAUAGACUAAGUCGUUUACGAAGUUAAAAAAAAAAACUACUUCGGCGAAAGUACCAACGAUCACCAAACAGAAAGAACGACUCACGAAUUAAUGCAAUUUAUCAUGGCAUUGAUGUCGGUCUUUGAGGAACGACAACCGGUAGCAGCAACAGCGGCCCGAUCCUUAAAAGUGUUCUCCAGGUCAACUGCAACUGCCGUCAACUUAUUUGCCCGCUAAGUGCCGCCGAUUAUUUGUUUGGCCGUUUGCAUCGCAUCGGACUUGAACAUCACCGCAAUGAACCGAAACAAGGGUGCUUUUUUUCUUGCCGAAGAUAUCCUACCGGGAAAUAAGGAGUGUUUUAUCAGAGCGGUCCUAGUUCGUUCCCAGUCAAUCCAGUUGAACAAAUUGCGUUGCAACCGACAACUUGUGGUUAUUCCGUGGAAGUGGUUAUUCUGAUUUGGAAUUCGAUAAAGUGCCGUCGAGUUUGAUCAAAUCAUUCGUUUCGGCUGAAGAAGAUCUCGGUUCCUGAUCUCGGAUGACCUGGAUCAGCUCGCGUAUUUCGUCCAGGAGCUACACGCCUGCCUGAACAGGCUAUAAAAUUGCAUCCUUCAAGCGAGCCUUCAAGUUGUUCUGCCGAACUUGACUGCUGUCUAGCAAAUAAUGUUUGUUCAUUCAGUUACUCCGCUGCCAUUGCCACAUCAUAGCAACCCAAACAAGAAACGGAAAUAUUUAACCAGAAAUUACUCCACAGACCACAUCCUUUGAAGGCUAUCGAUUGCCAAUGGGAUACAUCUAAGGAGUGUGCACACGUAUUAAAGGAUCACGUUGCCGUUUCAGUUAGACACUUCGACAAUUGCACCAGUACGCCCUCCUAAUACUGAACACUGAAGCACCAAAAUUAAAUUUUUUCGAUUAUUUCUUUACGAUUGUAGAAUGGAGAAAAUGAUUAAAGUAUUGAUUUCGGUAUUCGUCGUAGCAGUCUUACUUGAAACAACAUUGGCCUGUGAGUGCGAUUACAACGUCGUUUACGAGGGUCACAACGGUAACAACCGCGGCAGCGGCUGCUAUAUGGUGAGGCCAGCAAGUCAAGGCAUGGCUUGUCAGUGCCGUCCUGUCGGAUAUGCCUUCAUAUGCAAAGGUCAUCAAGUUGGUUGCCAGAACCCCAAUCACUAUCUGUGUCGUUAUCCCGAUACGUCAAAAGAGGCAUGCAUUUUCGCCAAUGGAGACUGCGGUGGUUAUUAAUCCACCUUAUAAUUCGACUAAUUUGCGAGCGUUGUGAUCAUUUCGAAUUUUUAUUACCACAUUAAUCAACUUAUCCACACACACUGAUUAGAAAAUAGAUACUCUCAGCAGUCAAAUUUUUCAUUUGGUCAUAAUCUUUCUGUCCCAAUAUACAACAAACAUUAGUUCACUU